AAGUGAAGGUCCCAGCAGAGGGUUAUUCGAUAAAGUUGAAAACUCUCUAACAUUAUAACCUUCAGAAAUGCAUUAUGCCAUGCCGUACAAUGCUUGAAUGAUUGUCUGUAUUUCAAAGCAUUUUAAUCCAUGGCUACAUGCCU
rfam:Oryza nivara chromosome 1, whole genome shotgun sequence.